ACUGCUCAGUAACACGUGGACAACCUGCCCUCAGGACGGGGAUAAACCCGGGAAACUGGGUAUAAUACCCGAUAGGUCUCGAAUGCUGGAAUGCAUCGAGGUCUAAAGCUCCGGCGCCUAAGGAUGGGUCUGCGGCCUAUCAGGUAGUAGUGGGUGUAGUGUACCUACUAGCCUACGACGGGUACGGGUCGUGAGAGCAAGAGCCCGGAGAUGGAUUCUGAGACACGAAUCCAGGCCCUACGGGGUGCAGCAGGCGCGAAAACUUUACAAUGCUGGAAACAGCGAUAAGGGAACCUCGAGUGCCAGGUUACAAAUCUGGCUGUCGUGAUGCCUAAAAAGCAUUGCAUAGCAAGGGCCGGGCAAGACCGGUGCCAGCCGCCGCGGUAACACCGGCGGCUCGAGUGGUAACCGUUAUUAUUGGGUCUAAAGGGUCUGUAGCCGGCCGGAUAAGUCUCUUGAGAAAUCUGGCAGCUUAACUGUCAGGCUUUCAGGAGAUACUGUCUGGCUCGAGGCCGGGAGAGGUGAGAGGUACUUCAGGGGUAGGGGUGAAAUCUUGUAAUCCUUGAAGGACCACCAGUGGCGAAGGCGUCUCACCAGAACGGACCUGACGGCAAGGGACGAAAGCUAGGGGCACGAACCGGAUUAGAUACCCGGGUAGUCCUAGCCGUAAACGAUACUCGCUGGGUGUCGGCCACGGUGCGACCGUUGUCGGUGCCGUAGGGAAGCCGUGAAGCGAGCCACCUGGGAAGUACGGCCGCAAGGCUGAAACUUAAAGGAAUUGGCGGGGGAGCACCACAACGGGUGGAGCUUGCGGUUUAAUUGGAUUCAACGCCGGG
rnacentral:rRNA from 1 species